rnacentral:rRNA from 2 species
AAACUUUCAACAACGGAUCUCUUGGUUCUGGCAUCGAUGAAGAACGCAGCGAAAUGCGAUAAGUAAUGUGAAUUGCAAAAUUCAGUGAAUCAUCGAAUCUUUGAACGCACAUUGCGCCCGCCAGUAUUCUGGCGGGCAUGCCUGUUCGAGCGUCAUUU